UCCUAUACAUACUCCAUCUCCUCCAUCGCCUUAUUUCCUGUUCAUCUUUUUCCUCCUUUAUAAAGAAAUAUGCUUUAUCUUUUUAUUCUCAUUGCACUCAAAUUAAUGAAUUGUUCACUUUGCAUCUUUAAAUUUGUUAGGGUUCUGCUAAAUUUUUUGGAUUGGCGUCUACUCCUUGUGUCUCCUAGCGUUUCUAUUUCUUAGACCUCAAUUUCAUGAUUAUGGAAGAUGGGAAUAUUAUAUACCAAUUCAAUUUUUAAAACAACUUUUUGAUUGUUGGGCCUGCUUCCUUCGGAUUUCCCUUUUAGUAGAAGUGGUAUUUGGUUUCAUGGGUCUCCGAUUUCUCUACUUGACUAACUUCAUUUGUGUUCCUCCCAUUGCCAUCUCUUCCUCAACUGAUUCAGGGACGGUUGUCGUCACAUGUUGUGCCUGCCUAUAUCUUUUGUGAGCUACCGUUAGCUAUCGUUUAAGAAACAAUUCUUUUAGGGCUUGUUUUGAUUUUGUGGUCUGUUUCUAUUUCUCUCAUUCAUCCCCUAAUUUAUUAAUCAUGUAAGUUUUCUUUUUUCUUGCUCGUAAACCAAAUCAAAAUUAGAGGGAAACAUAUCGCAAUUGAACAUCGUUCCUAAGUUGAUUCAAUUUUGAUUCUCUGGAAUUAAAAUCUUACUAUCGGGAUUGAAAGCUUCAAAAUAACUGGAUUCCUUAUCAUACAUUUGGUUCUAGAUUUUACACAGGUGUGAUGAUUUCAUCUUCAAAACUUUUUAUUUUGUCAUUUUCAAAUUGAUUAAUAACAAUUAAUAAUUAGUGUUGCC